rnacentral:rRNA from 1 species
GAUGCAAGCGUUAUCCGGAAUCAUUGGGCGUAAAGCGCCUGUAGGUUGUUUAAUAAGUCUGUUGUUAAAGACUAGGGCUUAACCCUAGGAAAGCAAUGGAAACUACUAGACUAGAGUAUGGUAGGGGUAGAGGGAAUUUCUAGUGUAGCGGUGAAAUGCGUAGAUAUUAGAAAGAACACCGGUGGCGAAGGCGCUCUACUGGACCAUUACUGACACUCAGAGGCGAAAGCUAGGGUAGCAAAAGGGAUUAGAUACCCCUGUAGUCCUAGCCGUAAACGAUGGAUACUAGAUGUUGCGUUUUUAUGCAGUAUCCUAGCUAACGCGUUAAGUAUCCCGCCUGGGGAGUACGCUCGCAAGGGUGAAACUCAAAGGAAUUGACGGGGGCCCGCACAAGCGGUGGAGCAUGUGGUUUAAUUCGAUGCAACGCGAAGAACCUUACCAAGGCUUGACAUACUACAGAUCUCUUUGAGAAAGGAGAGUGCCUUCGGGAAUGUAGAUACAGGUGGUGCAUGGCUGUCGUCAGCUCGUGUCGUGAGAUGUUGGGUUAAGUCCCGCAACGAGCGCAACCCUUAUUUUUAGUUACCAAUUUUUUGGGUUUUCUAGAGAGACUGCCGGUGACAAACCGGAGGAAGGUGAGGAUGACGUCAAGUCAGCAUGCCCCUUAUGCCUUGGGCUACACACGUGCUACAAUGGUAAGACAAAGAGUUGCGAACUUGCGAAAGUCAGCUA